CACAUACCUUUCUCCCGACCUUUCUUGGAGCUGCCCACCCCCCAUCUCAGUUGCCAGGGGCAACAGGGCUGGGUGGAGCCCGGGCAGAGGAACUGUGAGGGGUGACAGAAGAGGCCAAGUGGGCCCUGAAUUCCAGGUCUCAGCCAGGAGCUGCAGAAUUCUGCACGGAGAUGGUGAGCGUGGCGUGUACAAGCUCACGUUGGAAAACAGGCUUUGCUACAUUUUCUCUGGCCGGAAGCACACAGACUGUGGGAAAAGUCGAGAACGUUGCCUGAGCCCAGUUUGAAGGCAGGGGUCAGCGGGGAGAGGUUGCUUGAUGACAGUCACUUGGGUUCGUCUGUAAAUGCUGGCCAGAGUCUGAGGGCCCCCACCCCCACCCCGAGGUUGUUGACAAUGGAAAAACCCCCGAAGUGAAGCAGACAGGGAUUUUAGAACAUCUUAAAGGAACACAUGAGCGCUGAACAGGAAACGCCUUGGUUUCUUUGCUCGCUUCCCCAAGAGAGCAGAAAUGAAGGAAAGCUCUGUGAGGUGGGUUGAAUUAUUAUGCUGCACAAAGUUUUCUGAAGAUCUGGGCUAUGAAGAUGGAUCCCAUUAGUAAAUGUGACAGCUAUUCCAUGCCUCCCUGCAUUUUAGCACCGCACACCGAAGCGCAAAUGAAAGGAGUACACUACCUUUUAGAAGGAAACUAUCAAUCCUUACGCUCUCCAAACAGCUACAGAUUUUUUUUUUCUCCCCUUCCCUACCUGGGUAGGGCCGUGUAGCCUGAUCCCACGAAUUCGCAUCCAGCCUUUGUGUCUGGAGAAAUCUGGAGCCCUCGGGCAGAAUCCUGUUAUUUCUGUCAUCUCUGCGUACGUCAGCUCCCAGGCCUCAGAGCAAGUCCCACAUGCAGCAAGACGAGACGAGGCCUUUGAUCAUAGGAAGGGUGGAGAGACUUGGUUCAUCCUCGUCCAACUUCCUUAGAAGCCACACAGUGACUCACGGUGUCUGUUUUCCCACUGAUCUUGGGAGGCGGGGCUCAGCAAACAUGAAAUGGGUGGAAACGAA